rnacentral:tRNA from 1 species
AGUGGUUUGGCCGAGUGGUUAAGGCGGUAGACUUAAGAUCUAUUCGAAGUUUCGAUCGUGGGUUCGAACCCCACAAUCACUA